GGCUGCGGCUCGCGGGCCGUUUCGCAGCACAGCUGUGCGGGGCUCUGCAGCCACGCGGCGGCAUUUGGACAACGAAGUUCUGUUCCAAGGAGGUGGUGACAUCCAGAAAAAACAGCCUGCGAAACGCUUGCCUCACCUCAGCGUUCUGUAUCUUGGCCGCGGCCUUUCCACGCGCUUUAAAUUUGCAUCGCUUUUCCUCUUGAGUACCUGAGGGGACCGCUCUGCAGUGCCACGAGGUGCAGAGCUGCGGGUCAGACGUUGGGCCUCCUUGUCCCGCCCUGCCGGCGAUGUGUGCUCUGCAGUGUGAACUUUCACUCAGAAACCAGCACUAGGAGUAAGAAGUGGGCGUUUACAUCAUUGUUCUUAAGGCAUCUAUCAGUGUCUACAGCAAGAUCCCAUCUGAUAAAGGAGUUUAUUCCAUGAACAGAAAGGGAGACAAUAGCCUGAUCUUCCCCCUCUUCGUGUACCAGCAAGACUUCAGGAUGGCAGUCUUUGAUGAGAUUCUGAAACAUCAAAUCAGGAAAUGAUGGGAAUAAGCUGAUUUCUUCCUGAGCUAACACUGAGAGCAGCAUUGCAUGUCUGAUGGAGAACAGCAAACAAGUGAGAGAGCUUGUUUUCUGGAGAACGUUCACUUCACCGUCCUGAGCAUGAGUGGCUUCUACUGGCAGUGCUGCUGAAGAGCUGCGCAUCAGUAAUUCUUUGACAUGCAGAAUUACAGCUUUCCAGCGCCAGCUCAAACACCGAGGAAUCCCUGCCACCAUAAAGCUAUAAUUGCUGAAUUAAUAACAGCGGGUUCUGGAGAGUGACUGCACAGACUCUCUGACCCAGGUUCAUAAAUAGUAACAUCCCUUUGUCCUGGGAAAAGUUCUUAUCUUUUGUUUCUCUUUGUCAUUCCCCUCAAUCUCUGUCCUCUUGAGGCUGAAGGUUUGUCUGAUGUCCCGAGCGCUGCCCGGGUGUUCCAGCGGCACCAACAGAGGCUGACUGAUGGGCUCCAGUUCAGACAUACGAAGGGUGGCAAGCAGAGGCAGCGUUCUGAGACCGCAAGUCCCUCAGAACUGGAUGUCCUCAUCCCCAGGGCUGUCAGCCACACCGUGUCCUGUCCCUGCCGGCUGCACAGCAACAGUGGCGACACGGCUGCAUUGCUGGGGAGAUGGAAGCCCAACGUGUGUCAUCUCUGAGGCUGCUCGAGUUCCUCUUCAGCGCUUUGCAGGGGAAGACCAGAGAAAUAAUAAGGCUUUGUAUGAGUGAUAAGACUGUAUCGUGAUGGCUGUUCGCUUCCUAACAGAUGGGACAGAGAUGCAGGUAGGGUGGAGGGGCCACAAAGGCAACUGAUGGAGAAGUUUCUUUGGAGUCUGCUGUUCUUUUUUGCUUCAUUUAUAUUUCAUUAGGCAUGAAAUUACGUUUAUAAUUGUAUUAGACAACUGUGUGAGAUAUUAGAUCAUAAGCCUAGACUGAAUUAAAGCCAUUUUUAAUU
rnacentral:lncRNA from 7 species